ACUCAUUCCGAGCAAGGAGACACACAGGGGCAUUUACGGUGGUCAUGGUCAGCUUUUAUGUGUAAAUAUGACAGAACCAAAUGCUUGGAAAGUGGAGUGUUCUUUGGAACCUGGAAACAUACAGCAAAGAAGGAGUUAAGAAACGGAAAUGGGCCAGAUCAGCUCUAGCGCAAAAUACAUCCACCUCUUCUACACCUCAAUGGUUUUGAAGUAGAUUCUGGAGUAGAUAUUUUCCAGCUGACUGUGAAGGGCAUGAAACGAGGGCCGUUUGGAAGCCUCCGCGUGCCAGCAUUCCAUCAUGAUGCGGUAGAUGUUUGGGGGGCAGCGAUUUGGACACGGUAACCUGUAACCCGACGACAGGAUCUCCAUCACCUCCUUAUUAUUCUUCCCUGUGGGACACAGAGUGUGGCACAUGUAUAUGAGAUAUAUACUGCUCAAAGCAAAUCAGCACAUUAGAAUGACUUCUGAAGGAACGUCGGCACUGAAGACUGGAGUAAUGAUGCUGAAAAUUCAGCUUUGGCAUCACAGGAAUAAAUUACAUUUUAAAAUACAUUAAAAUAGAAAAUUGUUAUUUUAA